rnacentral:lncRNA from 1 species
GUAGUGCAUCUUUUCCUAGCCUUUGAUUCACAGUAAUUUUACAUGAUCACAUUGUUAGCCUUACCAACUGUGUGACUUUUCCUGUUUAAGACAAAAAAUCUUGCUGGCCUCCUCACAUGGAUGAUUCUCAAUAAAAUAAGAAAAUUUGGAUAAUCAGCCUAUAGAAGCUCCUUGGUAAGGGUCUUUCAUCAUAAAGAUGGACUUUUUCUGUGUCCUUUGUUCCAAUCACACAGGAAAAUGACUCAGAAGGUUAUAAUUCAUCAUCACUACCCUUAUCAGGGUUAUCCCCAGGCCUAAAAUUUUCCUCUUCCAUCUCACAUCUCACCUUCAAAAAUUACCACAUUGGGUUAUCAAACAUGUUUAUAAAAUACAAACAUGAGUUAAGUGUAAAACAUAAGAGCAUAGUAAAAUUUAAAAAUCCCCCCAAACUCAUCAAUCACUGGAGAAAUCACUUUUAGUCUUUUUCAACCUAUGUUUUGCCAUGUUUGUAACCACAACAAAACUGGGGGCAGGAGGUGGGGCAGGGUGCAGCUGAGCCUUUAGAAUGAAAAUUAAAUUUCCCCUCAUUUUUAGUUAUACUAGCAAAGCUUGUUUGGUCCUGUGAGUCAUCCUGUAGUGCA